AGUUCGGAUCGCAGGCUGCAACUCGCCUGCGUGAAGUUGGAAUUGCUAGUAAUCGCGCAUCAGCCACGGCGCGGUGAAUACGUUCCCGGGCCUUGUACACACCGCCCGUCAAGCCAUGGAAGCCGGGAGUGCCUGAAGUGCGUGAGCGCAAGCAGCGCCCUAAGGUAAAACCGGUGACUGGGGCUAAGUCGUAACAAGGUAUC
rnacentral:rRNA from 1 species